UUUGGAUUGCUUAUCAAAGCCAGUGUUCCAUUUUUUUCUUGAGGUUUUGGACCGAGAAAAAGGCACCACUUCUCUCUGUAGAAGCUGGGUAGAGACAUCAAUCAAGAGCCAUAGACACAAAUGCUAAAGUAAUUUGAGAAUUUUCAGAGGUACUGAUACUGAUGAACUCCUGGAAACUACAUGGUGAUGGGUCAUUAAUGUUCUCAGAAUGAGAAAUACAGUGCAGUCAGUGAAAGCUCCAAACCAUCAUUUCAUCUUUACAGAUUUCUGCUUCCUUUCGCUCGCCAAAGAUGUUUUCCAUUGAAAGUAGCAGCCAUUUGGAAUGUUCUGCUCCUUCUGACCAGUGAACUGAUUAAUUGGUACUAUGACUCGAUCACUUCUUUUGGGUUUGUAUCUUCACUGACUUCUCGAAGCAUCCAUGUGACCAUCAAGGAUGCUUCUGUUAUACCCUCAUUCAAAACCUCCACCACACGUAUACAUACUUUUUAUUUCAAGACUUGGAAUUUUUCCAUAUACUUGUGGGUCCCCAGAUAAUUGAAUUUUGUUUGUAGUUAGGUGAUCUGGAUGUGGGUUUUUGAUCUGGUGAUGAGGACUACUAUGAAAUGAACAGAGGUAGUGGACUAGACUACUAUCUCUUUCCUUUCUCCACUAUUUUUUUUAAAGAUUUUAUUUAUUUUAUUUAUUUAUUUGAGAGAGAGACAGUGAAAGAGAGCAUGAGAGAGAAGAAGGUCAGACGGAGAAGCAGACUCCCUGUGGAGCUAGGAGCCUGAGAAGAAGGUCAGACGGAGAAGCAGACUCCCUGUGGAGCUAGGAGCCUGAUGCGGGACCUGAUCCGGGACUCUGGGAUCAUGACCUGAGCUGAAGGCAGUUGCUUAACCAACUGAGCCAGCCAAGAGUCCCCUUUCUCCACUGUUUUAAUCUGACCUUCUAAGCCCAACCUGGAAUGCCAGGAUCAGAACUCCAGAAAUGCUAAAGUCUCUCUCCAAAUUUUCUAUGUCAUAUAUUUUUACAUAUAACCUUGUGAAACAUUUUCUUUAUCACUAACUCCUGCCCUUUUAAGUGGGAAAAUGCAUGGCUACAAAACCAUUUCAGGUCUUUGCUUCACAUUUUCAUUUUUUUACUUUUUUUUUUUUGCCUGUAAACCAAGUGUCUAAGAUUUUAUUUACACAUUUCCAAGCAUUUCAGUAAAUAAAAUUUGAUCAAUUUUUAACAUUACUCAUCUACAUAUCACCAAACAUAUAGUUUAGGUGUUUAUAUUUUUGGUUUCUGAGAAAGUAGUAUAGCAGUUAGUUAGUUAGUUAUAUGUUAAUUAGUAAGCAAUUGUUAGUAUACUAGCAUAGCAGUAUGUGUUGGGAAGAAACAUGUUAUGAUAAAUAAGUCUGCAAACAUGAUUGGAUAAAUAAACUUUAGGCAGAUUUUGGGGGAAAAUGCAUCCCCUGAACUGUUAGUCCACAAAACUCUUUUUUUGUUGGAGAUUCACGUGGAGCUCUUACUCUAAAGUAAACACUUGGGGAAAUCCUGGAUAUACAAAUGAGUGUGCAAACCUCAAGCAUUAUCACCUGAUACAUAAGUAGAGUUCUAAAGUCAGUUUGUUUAUUCAUUUAUUUAUUUACUUAUUUUAAGAUUUUAUUCAUUUAUUUGAGAGAGAGAUCAGAGGGAGAGGGAGAAGCAGACUCUCCACUGAGCAUGGAGCAUGAUAUGGGGCUCAAUCCCAGGACCCUGAGAUCAUAACCUGAGCUGAAGGCAGCCAUUUAUCCAAAUGAGCCACCCAGGUGCCCAUCUAAAGUCAAUUUAGUAGAAUGUGUUUAGAGAAACAAAUUAUAAAAAGCUGGUUGAAGCAUUUCAUUAAGAUUUGGGUUGGAGUGGGAAGUUACUUCCCAUUGUCCAAGUUAAUAAUAAUAGUGAAUCCACACAUAUCCCUACGCAAUAUGUGUUAAUUGCUCCCAAGAUUCAAACCAAUGAGGCUUUAAAGUAAAUUAUAGAGGCUGUUUCUUUUUUUUUUUUCCUUGUCUUUUUGUUUGUUUUUUGUUUUGUUUGUUGGUUUGUUUUUUUGUUUUGUUUUGUUUUUUUAAGAGAUGAUUCAGCACUUCUUUCUUUGGGCUGUGCAACAGGUCUUUAAUUUGUCUUCUCAUGUAGCCACUAUGUCCAAAUCAAAUCAGACAAAUUGGAUUCCAAACACCAUUCAAAGGGAAAAAAAAUCCAGGAAAUAUAUUCUCCAUC
rnacentral:lncRNA from 1 species